UACGGGGGGGGCAAGCGUUGUUCGGAAUUAUUGGGCGUAAAGAGCUCGUAGGUGGCGUGUCGCGUCUGCCGUGAAAGCCCAUGGCUUAACUGUGGGUCUGCGGUGGAUACGGGCAGGCUGGAGGCUGGUAGGGGCAAGCGGAAUUCCUGGUGUAGCGGUGAAAUGCGCAGAUAUCAGGAGGAACACCGGUGGCGAAGGCGGCUUGCUGGGCCAGUUCUGACGCUGAGGAGCGAAAGCGUGGGGAGCGAACAGG
rnacentral:rRNA from 1 species